AUACGUAGGGGGCGAGCGUUGUCCGGAAUGAUUGGGCGUAAAGGGCGCGUAGGCGGCCUGUUAAGUCUGGAGUGAAAGUCCUGUUUUCAAGAUGGGAAUUGCUUUGGAUACUGAUGGGCUUGAGUGCAGGAGAGGUUAUCGGAAUUCCCGGUGUAGCGGUGAAAUGCGUAGAGAUCGGGAGGAACACCAAUGGCGAAGGCGGGUAACUGGACUGCAACUGACGCUGAGGCGCGAAAGUGUGGGGAGCAAACAGGAUUAGAUACCCUGGUAGUCCACACUGUAAACGAUGAAUGCUAGGUGUAAGAGGUAUCGACCCCUUUUGUGCCGGAGUUAACACAAUAAGCAUUCCGCCUGGGGAGUACGGCCGCAAGGUUGAAACUCAAAGGAAUUGGCGGGG
rnacentral:rRNA from 1 species